rnacentral:rRNA from 1 species
AUGAUCCCCCCUCUCCACACCGGCAACGUCAUCGUCGUCGUCCUCCUCGGCUCCAAACUUGACAGGCACAAUGGGGAUCUUGUUCUUCUUGAGGCUAAAGGCCAGCUUCCCGCCCGACAAAACCGAGCCAGCCUUCUUCACCUCGAGCGGCCUCUUGUUUGCCGCAAUGACAAGGGGCGUCUUAGGGUUGACAGGCUUGGCCGGCGCAGAGGAGACAGCACCAGCGGUGGUGGCGGGGGCUGCGGGCUUCUCCUUGUCCUGCAUCUCCUGCUGCAUCUGCUUGAAUCUCUCCAUGAAGGAGCCGUCGUUGGCGAAGAGGCCCUUAUCCAUGGCUACACAAUCCUUUAA